GUGGCCGGAACGCCGAAUCCUGCCGCCGGCCACGGAUCAACGAACCCAUCGGCAUGGAGCGGGGGACCCAAGAGUUCCUCGGCGCUUCGGCGCCUCGGGGUGAAGCCGCAUCACGCGACCGGGCACCUCUGCCCGAACCCGACAGCUGACCUCGCAGGCGUGGAGGACAGAACUC
rnacentral:sRNA from 1 species